rnacentral:lncRNA from 1 species
GCAAGACUUCACAUGUAUGGUGAGGAAAAUGAUUUUUUUUUCUAAAAACAAAAACAAACAAACCCUUUUUUGUGAAAUUCAUUUUUUCCCAAACUUCAGCCUUUCUAUUGUAUCAGGCCAAAUGUCUGUGUUUUGUGGUGCUAGGAAGUUUCUUUGAAAUCCACAGUACUCUGUGUAAUGAUUAGACCUCAGAAGACUUAGCAUAAAUGACCAUAAAACUACAUUUGAAAACUUGACCUUAAACAACUUCAAACUUGUAUAAUGACUCAGUGACAUCUCUUAUUUUUCUGUGAAAAAUAAAAAAAGUAUUGAUCUGAGAACUCCAGAGGAGCUCCUAAAAGAAUAGAGGAGCUCCUAAGAGGAUAGAGGAGGGAGAGGAAGUUAAUUUGAAAAUGUUUCCAACAAGUUUAAAUUAACAACAAACUACAGUUCCACUGGAAGAUAUUUGAGGAAAUAUUUAGAAAAUGUUUUUAGGCAGGUACUUAUACUUGGUAUAUUUAAAGAUAUAUUAAUAUAUUUAAAAAUAUAUGUGCAUAAUAUAUUCUGUGUGCAUUGUAUAUUAAGAUGUGCAUGUCCCCAUGGCAAGACAAAAGAAACACCUGUAAAAGUAGAGAUCCUCAGAAACUGUUCAAUCACAACACAAAUUAUAUAAAAGGUAUUUUAACAAGACAAAGAAAAUUGGCAGAACUGAACUCAAAAUCUGAAGGUUAACCACAAUAAAACACAAACACAAAUCUUAAUAUGUGGUUUUCUGGCUCCAUCUGGUGUUUAUUUAACAGAAUUUAUAGUUCAAGGAAAUCUGAUUUCUACUCCCCUUUCCAGCCCUAUGUUGGAAACAAAGAGAGGUCAUUAACAAGACACUUAAAAUUAGGUAGUCCGAGGGCUUAUAGUCAAAGUUUUGUAUUUGCUCCUGUGAAGGUACAGGAAUAUUGUUUUUUUAUCAGUAUUUAUCUCCUGUGACUUAAAUCAUAUUCAGAUCUAAGAAAGGGCUUUUCUUACCAUUUCCCUCAGGAUGCCAAUCAGGCUGCUAAUAUACUAUUCCUCUCUACCAACCUUGCCCCACAAUAUAUCCUCAUUUUGGCUAAAUCCUCAGUACUACCUCUUUAUUCAAGUUAAAAGUUAACCCCCAGACACUUGUAACACAAUCAUAAGUCUUCACAUCUUUUUUUUUUUUAAUUAUUCCUGCUUUCAAGUCUGAUAAUAUCAUAUUUAUUUACUAUAAAGGUAGUUGGAAGAAUGAGAAGGCUACCAGUUGACCACUCACUGGACCAAAUGUUUGUGGAGAAAGUAUGUGUAAAGUCCAGGACAACUUUCCCCUUCCUUGUUAGUAUUUUUCAUGAUUAAAUGGCAUAACACCCUUCUUUUUCUAUUGGGCCUGACAUACAAAACUGUCUUGUCCUGGUAUGCUCUUACACCAGCAAGCUUCUUUAAAAAAAAAGAGGUAAAUUAUUUACUAUCAUUUAGGAAAGAGAUUCUUGAAUUUGUUCCAUAGAGAGGACUCUAAAAAGAUCUGCCCAUACAUUAGACAAUGAUGAAUACAUUUUCAAAUAUGAUUUGGUAAUUGAGAAUAUUGUAGAAUAGACAGUACUUCCUGACAAACAAGUUUUCUGCACACGUCAUCUGCUUAACUAUACUUGUAGAGCACCUGAGUAAAGUAGAUAGCACUGGGAAAGUCUUCUGCAGCAGCAAAUGUAUGAGAAAUUAUUAUUAUUAUUAUUAUUAUUAUUAUUUUUUUCAGUUAGGAAGAUGUUUUCCUAUCUUACUAUUUCUAAGUACCUCACUUUUCAUUAUUUUCAGUUGUAAGUAACUAUCUGUAUCAAUGUCACUGCUGUUCCUUGACUCAUACACUCAUCUUUACAUUAUAGAUGUUCACACUCAUGGCUUUCGACCUGUUGUUUUCCCACAUAAAGAACUCUAUUUCCUAAAAUAUGUGUGUGUGAUGGUGGAAGUACCUAAAGCA